rnacentral:misc_RNA from 1 species
GAUGAAGAACGCAGUGAAAUGCGAUACGUAAUGUGAAUUGCAGAAUUCAGUGAAUCAUCGAGUCUUUGAACGCACAUUGCGCCCCCUGGUAUUCCGGGGGGCAUGCCUGUCCGAGCGUCAUUGCUGCCCUCAAGCACGGCUUGUGUGUUGGGCCUCCGUCCUCCUCCCGGGGGACGGGCCCGAAGGGCAGCGGCGGCACCGCGUCCGGUCCUCGAGCGUAUGGGGCUUCGUCACCCGCUCUUGUAGGCCCGGCCGGCGCUUGCCGACACAUCAAUCUUUUUUCCAGGUUGACCUCGGAUCAGGUAGGGAUACCCGCUGAACUUAAGCAUAUCAAUAAGCGGAGGA